UAUCACUUUUUUUUUUAUUUUCAUCUACAAAUUUCUCUCUCAUUUUCCUUUACUAUAUAAAAUCUUUCAUGUAGCCAUUGUCUGGAUUUAGUACCUCUAAUCGUUUGAUUGAUCAAGUCUCAAUCUCAACUACAACCUUUAACAACUUUAAGUUCUCACGAUUAAGUUAAAAAUUUAUUUCGAUCUUUUUUUUCAUUUUUCUUUGAAUGCCUGUGCAUUCUUAGUUUUUCACUUACCUUUCUUUUCUAUUUGUAUGGUUUGGACUUGUAAUGCUUAGGAAUUGUUUUUGAGGAUAGAAAUAUAGGUGAUUUUAGAUAGAAUUUAGGUUAGACUUCGAGGCCUUUUUUUGGGUUUAGUCUUCGAUUAGGGAAAAUACGAAUGAUCUUUUGGGAAAAGUUUGGAUUCUUAACCUAGAAAAUAGGUAGCUUACAGGUUACGCAAAAUGAGCCAUUUUUUUUUUUAUUAAAAUUGCUUUCCAAAACUGAGUUUCUGAAGGGAAAUUUCUGAGGUGAUAGUACCUUUUUGAGGACAGAGCGGGUGAAUUAGGGGCACACGUGGAUCCUUGUAGGAUCUUCAACUCGUAAGACCAAGAUAGGUUUGUAGGAGUUUUAUGGCUCGUGGAUUUAUGAUUUCAACCUCAUGUAUUCGGGAUGAGUUAUCCAGUAAUUUAUUUCUUGUUAUCACGACCAGUGUACUGGAAGAUUUAAACCAUUCCCCAAACUAUACCCUUAGGUCAUCCAGUAACAAUUAGUAUUUCUCUAUACCUUGGCGAGAUAAAUUACAUUUUCAUCAAAAUGAGUCAAAGGAACAUAGCUGGUUUAUCUUCUUAGGGCCAGAAGGCUACAGAGAACACUAUUCAUUGCUUUAGACAGUGGUGGAGAGGGAGGUCGAAGUAACUGUGAACAUCUUUUACGAGGUCAGGAGGAUUGUUUCUCGGAUAACAUCUAUGCCACAUGUCAAUGUUAUAGUGUAAGAUAAUGGCAUUCAGACAGACUCCAAAUUUUAUGCUCGCCUAGCAUUUGAAGGGGAGUGGAAUUGCACUCCCUUGGAGCGAUGAACACCUGAAGACAGGGGAAGGGGCCUUCUUUCCACUGAGCUCAUACUUUUCUGACUUUUUAAAUUUUUUAAAGUUAGCUCCAUUCUAGCUCCCCCCAAAUUCGUAUAGCCUCCUUGAGGGGUUGAAAAUUUUAUUUCUGAAAAAUGAGUGGGAAGAGCCUACCCUAGAGGAUAUAUUCUAUUUUUUAUGCCUCAAGGCCAAUCCUGACUCCAGAAUAUGAGGUGAUGGCUUCUACUACUUCACUCAGUUUCCCAAGAAUUCCAGUAUCAUCGAUCUCCCUAGCCACCCAAGAGACUUCAAGGACCUAUUCUUCAUAUCAAAUACGUUCCACGAGUAUCGAUACUUCGACUGACCUCCUAUCUAUAAGAGGUCUAAGGCUUCCAUCAUCUGUAGGGACCAAUGCUUGAAGCUCGCCUCCGUCCCUAUCAAGGAAAAAGACAGGCGACCGAUAAUAAAAUUUGUCAACAUGAUUGAAUGUAAGCUGAUCAAGGAUGGCCAAUCUUUGGUACUCUAACCUCAGGGUCCUAGAAAAAGGGCCCUUACCAGUAUAGAGAAGCUCGAGAAGGAAGAGAAAGUUGUGUCGUUGGUGCAUAGACACCCUUCUCAGGGAGGUAUAAAUGAGGACCCAUGUCGGGCUCAGUCGGGUGUAGGAGCCAGAACCUCUGGCUAAGAAGAAAACAUGAGUAGCGACUUGAUCGACACCAUGACCAGCUCUGGUUCGGCCGUUAAAAGGCAGAGGAUAAUGAAAAGGUUGCGUUUAGGUUGGAGGUUCUUCCACGAGAGCUCAAACCAAUAACAAUGAACAUCCUUCUUCCCAACCACGAACUCAAAAUUAGACUGUCGUGAUGGCCAAGGAUUCUCCCUUUCAUGUUCCUCAAAUUGAUCCUCCAGCUCCUCCUCCAACUUCCGUCUCAGCUCCUCAUGUGGACUUCGGAAAAUUUCUAACUCAUCUCCGAGGGCCAAUCUAAGUCCUGGCCAGUGAUGUGUUGGGCUACGUCAACCAACUCACAAUAUGUGAGGUGGAAAAAAUUACGGUUGAACUCAUCGAGACAUGAUGAACUCAAGCAUGGGGAUGCACCUGAUUGCAUAUCUGGAACAGGCCCAAGCGAGGGCCAAGAUCAUUGUCGAGCUAGAUCAAGCCAAGGGCAAGAGCAAGCAGCUUAAGGAAGCUAACUCCUAGAUGGUCCAAGCAGUCCUCAAACUUGAGGUGGACCUUGAAAUGAAUCGAGAUAACAAAAGAUUUCCAAGACACAGGCCCUGGAAGUGAUCAAUGCUUGGGAUUAUAUCCUAGCCAAAGUAGAGGAGCAAUAGGCCAAAGUUGAUGAGCUACAACCUAAGGUUGACGACCAUGAAGCCUAGAUAAACUCAACUAUUGAAGAAAUGUUCUACAAGGCCCAUUCUUUAAUCAAAUGGGUGAUUUCUCAUUCUUGGAUGUCGAACUGUGGAAGCUCUAUUGAGCCAUAUUUCAAGAUCGUCUGGAAAAAGAGCCUUUAGAGAUGGUGGACAUUGCCUUCGGAGUUGGAGUAGAUAGUGGGGUGCAAAAAGUUACCUCUCAAGGGUGACCUGCCUGAGCUCAGGACUAAGGAACCUCUUGGCCGUUUAUUUUUAUUGUUCUCUAUAUUUGUUGGGGAGAUUUUCAAAAUCCCUUUUAAUUAGGCCUUCCUGGCCGAGACAAUUUUCUAAUGUGGUUUUGUUCGAGGUUAAUAUCCUCGUUCUAAUUUUACCUUUCUCGCAUCUUUAUAUAAUUCCAUUCUAUCA